CCGCCCGCAGGCAGCAUGUUGCUGCUGCCAGUCCUUCUGGUAGCUUCGUUUUGGUCUUGUGGAGACGCACAAGCAAUCCCGGUACAAACGCCAGAGUUGGUGACGAGGAUGGAGCGCAGCUCAGCCAGUAUAGAAUGCAGCAUGAGCAGUGAAGACAUUGUUCACUGGUACCACCAGCGUGCUGGACAGCCACCGAAGAGGAUUCUGUAUGUGUCAGGACAGUCACCUACGUUUGAUGACAGUUCCAGUAGCCGGAAGUAUAACGUUCAGAAAGAUUCUAGCGAGCCCCGAUAUACUCUCAUAAUAGCUUAUUUAACCCCAAAGGAUUCUGGCCUUUAUUACUGUGCCUAUUGGCCUUCUUUUCCUUUCAGUCACUACAAACUCCUGUAA